UGAUAAAUACUGCACUGUAAGGACGCGCGCCUUUUGCUUAUCAUGAUGUAGUGGAGUAACGAUUAGGAGUAUCACUAUGUACUGUUUGUGCUAUGCUGACUUGCUGCCUUAUGCUGACUUUGAUAACAGUGAUGGUUAUGGGCAUUGGAAUCGGGUUCCACUAUUGUUUUGUCCAAAAUUCAGUGGACGCAAUGG